rnacentral:rRNA from 1 species
GACGAACGCUGGCGGCGUGCUUAACACAUGCAAGUCGAGCGGUAAGGCCCCUUCGGGGGUACACGAGCGGCGAACGGGUGAGUAACACGUGGGUGACCUGCCCUCAGCUCUGGGAUAAGCCUGGGAAACUGGGUCUAAUACCGGAUAUGACUCCAUGACGCAUGUCGUGGGGUGGAAAGCCUUGUGCGGCUGGGGAUGGGCCCGCGGCCUAUCAGCUUGUUGGUGGGGUGAUGGCCUACCAAGGCGACGACGGGUAGCCGGCCUGAGAGGGCGACCGGCCACACUGGGACUGAGACACGGCCCAGACUCCUACGGGAGGCGAGCAGUGGGGAAUCUUGCGCAAUGGGCGAAAGCCUGACGCAGCGACGCCGCGUGAGGGAUGACGGCCUU